AUACGGAGGGUGCAAGCGUUAUUCGGAAUCACUGGGCGUAAAGGACGCGUAGGCGGGUUGGUAAGUCAGAUGUGAAAUCCUACAGCUUAACUGUAGAACUGCAUUUGAAACUGCUAACCUAGAGUAUGGGAGGGGGAGAUGGAAUUAGUGGUGUAGGGGUAAAAUCCGUAGAUAUCGCUAGGAAUACCGAAAGCGAAGGCGAUCUCCUGGAACAUAACUGACGCUAAGGCGUGAAAGCGUGGGGAGCAAACAGGAUUAGAAACCCUAGUAGUCC
rnacentral:rRNA from 1 species